AGGGAACGGAAGUAGCAGCCUCUCACCCCGGAAGAGAGCCGCCCUAGCUGAUUUCCGGAGGAAGUGGGGUGUUCUCCUCUGGGCGGUGUCAGCCAUGUUCAGUGUGGCAAGGGAGGCGGCGGCACGUCCCCAGCGUGGGCUGUCUGGGGCCAUCACAUGACACAGCUGAGGGUUCCUCUGCCGCUACAAUGGCUAGAGAGUUAUUUUUCCUUCUGUGCAAGUUGUUGAUUGCGUAUGAUCCCAGGACUCUGGAACAUGGCGCUUAAAAAUGCUGCAUGUGACAGAAUUGGACCCAAGCCGGGGAGUCCAGAGCCCAUGGUGCUGGAUCCUGACUCCUCUCAGAUGCCUCCUGGUGGCAGCAUCCCCUGACUCAGUGAGUUUGGG